AAUACCGCAUAAUGUCUACGGACCAAAGGUGGCCUCUAUUUAUAUGCUAUCGCCUUUCGAUGAGCCCAAGUGGGAUUAGCUAGUUGGUAAGGUAAUGGCUUACCAAGGCUUCGAUCCCUAGCUGGUCUUAGAGGAUGACCAGCCACACUGGAACUGAGACACGGUCCAGACUCCUACGGGAGGCAGCAGUGGGGAAUAUUGCACAAUGGAGGAAACUCUGAUGCAGCCAUGCCGCGUGUGUGAAGAAGGCUUUCGGGUUGUAAAGCACUUUCAGCGAGGAGGAAAGGGUGMWGGUUAAUAUCCWKUAUCUGUGACGUUACUCGCAGAAGAAGCACCGGCUAACUCCGUGCCAGCAGCCGCGGUAAUACGGAGGGUGCGAGCGUUAAUCGGAAUUACUGGGCGUAAAGCGCGCGUAGGUGGUUAAUUAAGUCAGAUGUGAAAGCCCAGGGCUCAACCUUGGAACUGCAUUUGAAACUGGUUAACUAGAGUUUUGUAGAGGGUGGUAGAAUUUCAGGUGUAGCGGUGAAAUGCGUAGAGAUCUGAAGGAAUACCAGUGGCGAAGGCGGCCACCUGGACAAAGACUGACACUGAGGCGCGAAGGCGUGGGGAGCAAACGGGAUUAGAUACCCCGGUAGUCCACGCAGUAAACGAUGUCUAUUAGAAGUUUGUGGCUAUAUGCCGUGGGUUUCAAAGCUAACGCAUUAAAUAGACCGCCUGGGGAGUACGGCCGCAAGGUUAAAACUCAAAUGAAUUGACGGGGGCCCGCACAAGCGGUGGAGCAUGUGGUUUAAUUCGAUGCAACGCGAAGAACCUUACCAUCCCUUGACAUCCAGAGAAUCWSYUAGAGAUAGWWGAGUGCCUUCGGGAACUCUGAGACAGGUGCUGCAUGGCUGUCGUCAGCUCGUGUUGUGAAAUGUUGGGUUAAGUCCCGCAACGAGCGCAACCCUUAUCCUUAGUUGCCAGCACGUAAUGGUGGGAACUCUAGGGAGACUGCCGGUGAUAAACCGGAGGAAGGUGGGGACGACGUCAAGUCAUCAUGGCCCUUACGGGAUGGGCUACACACGUGCUACAAUGGCAAAUACAAA
rnacentral:rRNA from 1 species